rnacentral:rRNA from 1 species
CGUAAGGGGCAAGCGUUGUCCGGAAUUAUUGGGCGUAAAGAGCGUGUAGGCGGUCCGGUAAGUCAGCUGUGAAAGUCAAGGGCUCAACCCUUGAAAGCCGGUUGAUACUGUCGGGCUAGAGUCCGGAAGAGGCGAGUGGAAUUCCCGGUGUAGCGGUGAAAUGCGCAGAUAUCGGGAGGAACACCAAUGGCGAAGGCAGCUCGCUGGGACGGUACUGACGCUGAGACGCGAAAGCGUGGGGAGCAAACAGGAUUAGAUACCCUGGUAGUCCACGCCGUAAACGAUGGGCACUAGGUGUUGGGGGUGUCGACUCCCCCGGCGCCGUAGCUAACGCAUUAAGUGCCCCGCCCGGGGAGUACGGCCGCAAGGCUA